GACGAACGCUGGCGGCGUGCUUAACACAUGCAAGUCGGACGAUGAACCCGGAGCUUGCUCCGGUGGAUUAGUGGCGAACGGGUGAGUAACACGUGAGUAACCUGCCCUUGACUCUGGGAUAACUGCGGGAAACUGUAGCUAAUACCGGAUACGACCCUCGGCGGCAUCGCCAGGGGGUGGAAAGAAUUUCGGUCAAGGAUGGACUCGCGGCCUAUCAGCUAGUUGGUGAGGUAACGGCUCACCUAGGCGACGACGGGUAGCCGGCCUGAGAGGGGCAGCGGAGGGAGACGGGCUGAGCCAGGGCUCAGACACGGACGGGAGGCAGAAGGGAGGAAUCUUGCGCGAAGGGUGCAAGCCUGAUGCAGGCACGACGCGUGAGGGAUGCGGGACGGCUGGUUGUAAUCCGCUUGUAGUAGUCAUGUAGCGGAGGUGACGGGAACGGCAGGAUAAGCGCCGGCUAAGCACGUGCCAACUACGGGAGUGA
rnacentral:rRNA from 1 species